rfam:Salmo salar isolate Sally breed double haploid chromosome ssa02, whole genome shotgun sequence.
UGCACAUACUACUGCAAGUCGCUCUGGAUAAGAGCGUCUGCUAAAUGACUCAAA